AAGAGAUAACUCUUUAAAAACCUUUGCCAAGUAAGCCGCCUAUAUAGUCAUAAUUUUAAGGCUUCAAAAUCAUGCAAAAGCUUGUUUCAGUACAAAUAUAGGGAAUUAUAAUUAUUUUCAUGGUCUGCGUUUUGUUUUAUUGUCUCUUGUAAGGUUCCUGUCUUUUAUUUUGUAAUUCAUUAGUUGUCUUUUAUUUUGAUGUUCUAUGUUCAUUUCCUGUCCUGGUCAUUUUUGUGAAUUAGUUGCUUUGUUGUUAGUUGUCUAGUUGUGUUGUUCUUAUGUAUCUCCGAGUAUUUCCUGCUCCUUAUUGUGAAUUGAACAUUUUCUGAAGUCAUUUGUGCGCUGCGAGAGCUGCCAGCAAGGGUGGAACUGAAGGAACACAGUCGAUGAGAACAUGAAGAGCUUCAAGGUUGAGCUCUUGUCUGAUAAGUACAGGGUCGCCGCUCAUGUCAUGGUGAACCAAGCUGAAAAAGUCCCCAGUCUUCCCGGAUGUCGUCUGAAUCACUACUGCCUGGCAUGAAGUUGAAAAGACAAAACCACUGACCAGGAGAGGGGAAUUCUCCAUCGUGACGACUGAAGAAUCUGAUCAUUGCUCAGGGCAGAGGUUCCUCCAAUUGAAAAUAAGUCAAACCAGUUUCUUAAUUUGUAAAAAGGGUUGAGAAAUAUUCCCCAGUUGUGGAUCUUGCAGAAACCACAUGGUGUCCCAAAGGGGCACUAGGACGAGUGAGCAGGAUGUGAAAGCACACGAUAACACGCGUCAAAUCCAACAGAAUCAGCGCUGGUCUUUCGUUCAAGGUUUGGUACUCUUACGGCACCUCAGCUAUUUACAUGAACUUCAAAUAUUAGGAGCGAAUAAGUGAAUGAGUCAAAACAAAAGCCAGACAGUGUGUUUAGAGUAAAAAUGUCCUUGCUGUAAAACAAAACAAAAAACAAUUCAAUGUCUUUCUGUCUAGUCUUGCAAAGACACUUGCUGUACUGCUUCUCAUAUUUUGCUCCAAGGUGUCCAUAUUUUUACAUUAAAUAAGCUUGGAAAGUGCAGGCUUCACU